UACGUAGGUGGCAAGCGUUGUCCGGAUUUACUGGGCGUAAAGGGAGCGUAGGUGGAUAUUUAAGUGGGAUGUGAAAUCCCCGGGCUUAACCUGGGGGCUGCAUUCCAAACUGGAGGGCUAGAGUGCGGGAAGGGAGAGUAGAAUUCCUGGUGUAGCGGUGAAAUGCGUAGAUAUCAGGAGGAAUACCGGUGGUGUAGACGGCUCUCUGGACCGCGACUGACGCUGAGACACGAAAGCGUGGGUAGCAAACAGG
rnacentral:rRNA from 1 species